rnacentral:rRNA from 1 species
GUGGUGGCACAAAAUCGGAAGCCCCGACUGUUUACUAAAAACACAGCUAUCUGCAAUGAUGUAAAUCAUAGUAUAGGUAGUGAGGUUUGCCCAAUGCCAUCAGCAUAAGAGACGUAAUGGGAAACUGUUAAAUAUCGAAAGCAUGGUUAAUAGCGGUCUUAACCAUGAGGAUCCUAAGGUAGCAAAAUAAAUUGGCCAUUAAAUGUGGUCCGGUAUCAAUAAUUUAACGAUGGCUUCACUGUCUCUACAACUUGCUCAGUGAAAUUGAAUUGUGAGUGCAGAUG